CACCUUGGCCUCCCAAAGUGCUGGGAUUAGGGGUGUGAGCCACCAUGCCUGGACUUCAUUGUGAAUUUUUUAAAGGCCUUUCUAAACAUCACAUAAGAUAGAGAAAUGAAGGAGUCCUAAAAAGAGGGAGAUCUUAAUCCAGCUUUUAAUUGCUUCUGAAUCUUAAGUCCAAAGGCCAUUUUGCAAAAUAGCCACAUCGUCCUUAAGUUUAUAUGUAUUUUAAAAUGUAGUUUUAAUUCAGUGACAAAGCUAUUAAUGAAAUAAACAUGCAUUUUAUCCAAAUGAACACUCCUUUAAAUACUUUUCCAAAGUGCAUUUGAGGAAACGGUGAGGCUAAUGCACAGGCAAUGAAUAUAAUAUAACAUGAUAAAUGCGGUAUCUGUUAAAUAGCAAUGUAAUGCCAGACCAGGUUCAAAUUCAAUAAAACUUAACUCUAAUAUACAAAGCUUUUUGUGAGCACUUAUUAGUUAAAAUGAAUUCUUUUAUUACCCUAGUAAAUUGCCAAAUUGUUAGAAUAAAGCCACCCAAAUAACAUUCAAAUUUAAAUUGAACAAUUGAACAGAAUGAGAUGUCAUAAUAUAAAAACAGAAUUAAUAUAUAUUUAAAAUGCAUUAUGUAUUUUUCUCAUAUGAGUCAUAUUAUUAUGAAUCUUUGGAAAAUAUUUGUAAUUACCUCAAGUAUUUGUUUCAUUCCCUGCUUGAAGAUCAGUCAAGUGAUCAAUUAAUGGAUCAUUCUCAAUCACACACCGCGUCUUUUUCCCAUCUUAGCAUCAUAAGCUAUAGAGCAAUGUUGGCACCCAGAUCUGCCAAAUGUAUUCAGUAAUAGUGAUUUCCUACCUGAUUUGCUGUCUUUUACACUGAGCAGUGAUACUUAUCAGCUGAGUGCUACAGUCUAUUUCCAGUCAUUACUUUAUGUUUAUUCCAGUAUCUUUCCUUCUUUUUUUCAUCUGCAACUGCCUGUGAACUCAUAACAUCACCAAAGAUUGGAAUAAAGUUAGUGGAAAGGGGGUUAAGAAGUAGACUGAAAGCAGCUCACUCUUUAAUAUGAAAAACUUCAAGUAUGUGAUUUUGGUUUUCUGGAUCUAUGUUUAACUCAUUAUACUUGGAAGCACUAAAUGAAAUAACAUGUGAGAAACUGUUCUUAACAAGCAUCUGUCAAAUGACUAGAUGAGUGGAUGUAUCAAUGAAUGCUAUUGCUGCUAACCACAACACUCAAAACAAAAUGUGUGAUGCUGUUUAAUUUGCUUCAGCUGUGAAUGAUGUUUUUUGGUUUUCUCAAAAAAAGUUAACCUUGAAGCAACUUGUCUCUGUAGGCUCUUUUUUUUUUUUCCUAUAUUUUAAGUAUUUUUUUUUUUUUUUUAGGUUUUGGAAGUUCAUAUUAAAAGGUUCAAAUGGCUUUUCCUUUGCAGAUUCCUCACUUCCUUUUGAUCUGAAUGUACCUAUUGAUUUAUAAUUUUCUCUCUUCAAAGAAAUUUCCAAGUUGUUGCUUCAGGCCUCAGACAAGUUGCUGUAGGCAGAGACUGUUAGAAACGCAUGACCUGGCAGGAAGCUGCAUUCUGAGCAGGGUUCAGAGUUGGAACAGAGGAAACUUAAGACAACUUUCAGACAGGCCAAGUAGGACAGGGUCCAAAUCAUCUAGAAUGUCAACAAAGAGAGAAAAGCAGGUUUGCUUUUUUCUAAAUCAGAAUAAGAUUAGAAAGAUGCAGAAUAAUGGGAUGGGUUCAGAUGUACAUGGAGAGGGCUGAUAAGUUUUGUCUUGUUUUGUUUUAUUUAGAGAAACAGCUAGAAGCUCCAACAAGCUUGAAUAGAAAAAAAGAUAAAGAUGUUUUAUUAUUGUAAUGAUAUGAUUAUGAUUUUUGCUUUAUACUAAUUUUUUCCAGGCAUUCGUUCACCAAAAGCUUCAUUGAGAUCAAUGAUAUUGGACUAGAAUGACCCAAGUUUGGUUCUGAAAUCACACUCUCUUUGUAAUAGAAACCAAACAAAGUGUACAGGUAGAGUGUUUCAGAGGUAUUAUUCCUGCUUGACUCAAAAUGAACAUUAAAGUUAGCAAUUUUGCCGGGCGUGGUGACUCAUACCUGUAAUCCCAGCCCUUUGGGAAGCCAAGGUGGGAAGAUCACUUGAGCCCAGGAGUUCGACACCAGCCUGGGCAAUAUAGUGAGACCCUAUCUCUUCAAACAAAAGUCAAAAAAUCAGCCUGAUGUGGGGGUAUGUGCCUGUUGUUCCAGCUACUCAGGAGGCCAAGGUGAGAGGAUCACUAGAGCCAGGGAAGUCAAGGCUGCAGUGAGCCCUGAUUGUGCCACUGCACUCCAGUCCAGGUGACAGAGCAAGACCCUAUCUCAAAAUAAAUAUAUUAAUAAAGUUAGCAAUUUCUGUGGUUUCUUCAUUUAUAAGAAAACAGCCGGCCAGUUGUGGUGGCUCACACCUGUAAUCCCAGCGCUUUGGGAGGCUGAGGCAGCCGGAUCACCUGAGGCCAGGAGUUUGAGACCAGCCUGACCAACAUGGUGAAACCCCAACUCUACUAAAAAUACAAAAAUUAGCUGGGCAUUGUGGUGGGUGCCUAUAAUCCCAGCUACUCAGGAGGCUGAGGCAGGAGAAUCACUUGAACCUGGGAGGCAGAGGUUGUAGUGAGCCAAGAUCGCGUCAUUGCACUCCAGCCUGGGUGACAAGAGUGAAACUCCGUCUCAGAAACUAACAAACAAACAAACAAAAAUAGCCUACCUCAGUGCAGAAACAAACAAAAACCUAGUAAUUGUUUCAAAGACUGUGGUUGCUAAAAUAGCAUUAUGAAAAUGUGACAAGUUUACCUUUUUGUAUGGGAAUAUAGGGCUAACUAGGGACUAUUUGUUGAUAGUCAAAGUCAAGGGACUGGAAUUCAGAUAGAACACCAUAUCUUGCCUUUAGCAAUGGGGAUUUCAGCUAGAAUUAUAUAUGGACCCCUCAACCAAUGCAGGUAAAGUGUACAUCUCUUUCAGGUAGGACACAGCAUAAUAAAAGAUGAGGUUCACAAAGCUCUCUAUAACCUUGCAAAAGCCAACUAGCACUUUUUAACACUUCUAACAUCACUCUGUCACCAGAGAACAGUGUUUCUGCAUUCAGCACAGAAGCUAUAAAGGGCAUUAGAAACACUCCUUAAAAUGUUCAACAGCCACAGCAGCAAAAUUGUAGUGCUCAAGUCCUGUAAUUUGGAGAAUGGGUCUUUUUAUACCUUAGCAAGCAUUAUACUUUAUUUCACUUUUGAGAGUCACGGAUGCUAGUGUUUUAAUGAAAAAUUCUUUUGCAAAAGUGACAAUAUGUAUAUAUAUUUUUUUCAGAGGAAUGACUCUUUUUUUAGUGCUAGAACUCUAGCAUAAAUAUGAUACUUGGUGAGAAAUACAUCAUUUAAAGUAAUGACAGAGAAAUUUAGGAGGGAUAAAGAAGAAAAUAAACCAUUUAAGUAGCAAAGUUUUAAGUUGCAAUUUAAGGUGAUCAGCUCACCAAACAUGCUCAAAGAAGGCCACUGCUCUGCAUAUGUUUUUGUCACUUGCAAAAGCUAAAAAAAUAAAUAAAUCUGCUAAAGCCAACAGCUUUGGCGGCCUGCAAUCUUUCUAUAGCAUGCUGUGCUCAGUUAUGUUCAGUGACUAAAAGCAAUAACGUGUUGAUUCUAGACUAAUAUGUCUAGCUCUGCAAUUGAUUGUAAGCCACUUUAUGAGACACUCUGAAAUCUUUCCUGUGUCUACUAGUCUUGAUGAGCUCCUUAGCAAAAUAAAUUAGCAAUUUUGAACCUUUUUUUCCAUACUUGCCUACUGCCAAGACUUUCUAAAUAAACCCUCUGUAUUUUCUCCCCCAGCAUGAUCCACAGGGGGGGGUCGCAAUUCAGAGUUGCUCCUGUUUAAUUUGGGUUUAGGUGUUGAGGUGCUCAUGCAGUUCUCAGCAAUAUCUUCUCAUUUGUACUUGCUUGACCUGAUUUGAUUCCACUUUUAUUUUUCUAAAGCUCAGAGGUAUGAUAUAAAUGUCAGUAAAAAUUAAUCUCUUGCCCAGCACUAACCCAAAAGGACCUUCUCUAUUUUAAUAGUCCAGAAAGCAAUUUUCUCUCAGCAACUAAUUUUUAACUAUUUAUUAACUACAUAUUAAUAUGAUUCUGUACCAAGACAGCCCUUUUUAAUUUGAGUUGCUGAAAAAGUCAAAUGUGAUGGGUAAUACUAGUUUACCUGCAUGAUUGCUAUUAUGUCAAAUAACUGCUCUUUAUACUUGAAAAUAUGUUUUUCCUCUUAAUGCACUUCAAGUUGACCAGUGGUGCUAAAUUGACUGAUUCAGUGGCAGAACUCCAGUGUUUUCCAAAUAUCAGGUGCCACACUUAGUGGCAGCAUCAGUUCUUGCCACCUUGGCUUGCCAAUAUAACUCAAUGCAUCUUUAAUGGAAACAACAGUUAAAGCUGAUUCAAUCUAGGGCUGUUCUUCUGAGACUGUCAAUAAAGGAAUCUGCUGGUGCUAAAUGUCACCUUGGUUUAGGAAUAAAGACAGAUUUUUCUCUCUGAAAGGAAAAGCAGAUCAACGCACUUACCCCAGUCAUGGGACAUUUGUUCAGUUUGAUUUUCUUCUGACCUAUCUGUAUAUCAUUAAUUAAUAAGCAAAAGAAUACAGUCUACUGCUGCUAUUGAGAAUGAUACUUUAAAUUUUGGAAUAAGUAAAGAUUUCAAGGACAAGAUACAAUCAUUACUAAUGUUAAAACAAUAGUGUAAAUGAUCUUAUCUUGCUCCUUCUAUGAGACAGAGUAAUUUUAGCCACAUUAAACAACUAUCCAAGUGUAGCUGAGAGUAGAGAAGAUGAAAAUAAGACAAAUAAAUGAGGAUGAAGGAGGAUACACUGACAUUUGUAGCCCUCCCAGGGCUUUGCAUAGAGAAUGGCCACUGUGGCCAUGGCUAAAAUGUUGCAAAGGAGUUGGUCUGUGCAAUUAUCAGAUCUUGCAAGUCACAAAUCCAGCUAUGCAUUUUUUUCUGGACAGGAGGCAGGGCUUGCCAGAGGAGAGAAAGACUCUUUGCACACAGCUGGAGCUUUUCAGGGUGAAAGCAGAAACAUGCUCCAUUGACAGCAAACUUAUAAACUGUCAUGGGGUAGUUUUCUCUCUCUUUCCUCCCUCGACCUCAGACUGAUUGGCAUUUUUUUCAUGACCUACCUGGCUAUUCUUUCCCCUUGCCUCACUGCCGUUGGCAAUAGCUUAAACCAUGUUUGUUAGGUAUAAGAUCCUCAAUCUAAUGUGCUCAGCAUUGUUCAUGGCACUAAAUAUACAUUUUAAAAAGGAUGCUUUUGUUUCUCUACCUCCAAACUCAUAAAGUCCCCUGGUCCUGGGUUUUGGAAUCCAUCUAGGAAUGACCCUACAUGCCUGUAAUAUUUAAAAAACAAGUGAAGAUUUUAUUGGUACUCUCAGGUACUUAAUGGCAUUUAUUGAAAUAUUUUUUGUUCGUCUUCAUAGUGAGGGCCAAAACAUCUGUAUCAACAGUAUGAAUCAUGGACAUAUGAUGUCCAAAAUGCUAUCAUUAUGUUUUACGUACUACAGCAAUGGUAUGAAAGGUUGAGAAAUAAAAUAAAGAACAUCCCGUUAAGCAUUUAAAACGUUAGUCUGUGUACACUUAAUUUCUAGUAAAGGAACAGAAGACUGGAGUGUGAUAAGAACUGAAGAAAUAUUUCACAUCCUGUCAAUUAGUUCUAGGAACAGGAAUUCAAUAAUUUGCCUACCUUCGUCAGAAGAAAGUGAGGAUAAAAGCAAAAACCAAAAACCAAAAGUUAAAAGGUUAAUCUUGUCAAUGACUGAAGAGCAAAUAUUUCUAUUAUAAUGAAAAUUCUAAAAAUAAGUACUGGGUAUUUUGCCUGGGGUUUUAAAGAAAUCAAAGCAAAUUUAAUGCAAGUUUCAAAGUGAGUGUAAUAAUAAACAGAAAUUCUGACUUUCCCCCCCACCAAGAUUUUCUUGAGUUUUUAUGAGCAGUCUUGUCAGUGAGAAAAAUAGACUUGCUGAAUAUUACCUCAGACAGGCAUUACUAUCAUCUCUAAUAUUAAAUCUAGUGAUACAAGGUGUAAUUGGAAGAGUUGUAUAGUUUUGAAGUCAGUUUAGAAGGAGCACUUUCAACAGUUAACAAUCUCAAUGCAAUCCCAUCUAUUUAUUGCUGUUUCUUGGCAUGUUAUUCAAUAACUUUUAGUUUUAGUUUCUUGAAAGUUCAUUUAGCCUUACUGGUUAGUUACUAUUUAUAUCAAGACCAAGACAGAAUUGCAAUGUAAUAGGAAGCUCAGGUAGGUCAGUAAAUAUGUAAUAGGGUUCCAACUCAACAACUAGCUGAUUAUUAAGUUUUAGAUAAGUCAUUUUGCUUCUAUAAGCUUCAUUUUGCCCACUCAUAAAAGGUUAAUGAGAACUAUAACAAUAUUUGUCAAGCAUUUUUAUUAAUAAAUCUCUAAUGGUGUAGGAGACUCAAAAUGAUUUUGGAGGGGAGGAGAAGGGUAAAGACUAGACAUAAAUAGAUAGAAUGUAUCCACCAACAAUGCAUUGGAUAAAGAAAAUGUGGUACAUAUACCCCAUGGAAUACUACACAGCUGUAAAAAAUGAAGCCAUGUCUUUUGUAGCCACAUGGAUGCACCUGGAGAUGAUUAUAAAAUAAUUAACACAGGAACAGAAAACCAAAUACUGCAUAUUUUCACUUAUGCAAAGGAUAACAAUUUUCACUUAUGCAAAGAGGGUAACCAUAGAUACUGGGGACUACUAGAGUUGGGGAAAGGUUGAGAAAUUAACCAUUGAGUAAUAUGCUCACUACCUAGGUGAUGGGAUCAAUCAUACCCCAAUCCUCAGCAUCAUGAAAUAUACCCAUGCAACAAACCUGGACAUGUAUCCUUGCAUCUAAAAUAAAAGUUGAAAUUGUUUUAAAAGGUAUUCAUUAAAGAAGCAUAAAGAGAGAGAUCAAUAAAUAUGCUUUGAUAUCUUCAAACAAAAUUUACAUUUUUCUCCAUUCACAAUAUGUUGGUGUAUAAAAACAAUGUUUGGCAUUACCUCUAUUAAAAGGAAUUGUCAUCUAUCUGUGCUGAACAGGUCAAUUUUAGCAAACCCUGCUGGAUUAAAGAAAGCUGUUACUGAAGACUAGAGUGAAGGUCUAGAUAAUUUCUCUGCUUCUUUUUAUAGUUCUUCUAGAACUUUGGUUUACAUAAAUACAUGGAUGUAAGUGGCAACAAUGUAUCUUUUAAAACUUUGUAACAUAUGUCACUGAGUAGAGAUGACCUGAAUAUAUGGUAAAAUGAAUGGUAUAACAUUUUCAAUAUUACUUUUGCUGGCAAUUUUAAGUAGUUUAUUACUAAGAAAUGAGGUUGCUGCUAUCCUCAUAUAGUAGACAGAAAAUGUCUCUAAUCCAUCAUCUUGCACCUUUUACAGCUUCAGGAAGUAUUUCAUCAGAAGACUCUUCAGUAUGAAGAGAUGACUAACUUUAUGUUUUUCCUUAUUUUAACAUCGUCAUUAAUUCUAAUCACAUGUAAAUAAUAGUGUGAUAUGAUUCAUAAAAUCCGUGACCUCUUCACCCAGCUCUCAAGCUGCAUUUUCAUUACAGUCUUUUCAUCAUCAGAAUUUUGGCUUCAAGUUGUUGAUUUAGUUGUGAUUGUCUUGAAAAGAAAGGUCUACUAAAUGAGUCAACUUUUAUCACGAACUAUAAAUGUAUUUAUUUAUCCAACUUUUAAAUACAAACAAUCCUUUCCCACUAGGAAAGUACUAAAUCAACCAUGAGUUGGAAGAGUAUUUCCAAUGCAUUUCUACUGGUUGGUAAUGCAUAUCUGUGAACUUAAUACUUUAAUUAUUGCAUUAAGAUCAUUGAAAGAUAAUCAAGAGGAUGUUCUUUUUGACACUUUCCUUCUAGGAGGAUGCUUUGGUUGUUCAAUCAUUCAAGGUAUGCACUGGCUGCCAUUCAUAGAAUUUCCCUCUGAUAAAACUGUAACAAACCUAUUCAAUAAUACAUAUGGCAUUGAGAUAUACCCAAUAGUCACUCAUCCUUCACAAGCAAAGGGGAUGCUGAAACUGACUAUAAACAAACCUUCAUGGGGACACGGAUGGAAGAUAAUAAGUGUAGCUUCUUCCUCUGGGCAAGCGCUCAUUAUCAAGUGCCUCUGGGCAAGGCACUACAUCUGAACACAGCCAGAUAUAGAUGGUCUGUGACAGAAGAAACCUGAUGGUCUUACUGAACUCACCCCAGUGUGAAAAUGAGAAACAAGGCAGGAAGGAUGUUGUAAGGGAGAUAAUGCAGCAUGAUAAGGUUUCAACACAAGUCUGAGGACGUCUCUCAGGUGAGAUUGUAUGUAUACUGUUUGUCCUUGUGCAUAUAUGCUGGGGGUUGAGGAUAAGAAGGGUCAUUACUUGCGUGACUAUAGUGUUUUUCUUUAAGUUCUCUUCUCUAGAAAUUCAGCUAAUGGGACAUAUAUAGAGAAAAAUAUUUAAAAGUUAGUAAAUGGAUUUAUUUGUAACUGAGAUAGGCUUCACAGGAAUUUAGUUACCAGGUCACAUCCCAAUCUCUCUUUCUAUAUGAGGUUUGAAAAUGUGAACUGCUAUGCAUAGCUUGGGCAUUAGCCCCAAAUUGCUAUGACAAUUAAUGAACCAGCUACGUGUACUGACAUCUUAGGUGCAAGUUGUAAAGCAAAUUAUCUGUGUAUUCUGCUUGGCUAAAUGUAUAUUUGUAGCCCUUUCAUGCAAUAGAAUUCAUGUUGUUGUGUAUAAGAGAAGAACAAAACCGAUAAUAGGAGAAAAUUGCCUUUCUGGAUAGAAAUAUAGAAUAGCCAUGCUUAUGAUUAUCACAAAUAAAGAAUUCAAUUCUUUACAUGAUUGAGUGAGAGUAUGUAUAACC
rnacentral:lncRNA from 1 species